rnacentral:sRNA from 1 species
ACGGUACUAAAGGUCCUCGGACUU